rnacentral:rRNA from 1 species
ACGGCCAUACCAUGCUGAAUAUACCGGUUCUCGUUAGAUCACCGAAGUCAAGCAUCAUUGGGCGCGGUCAGUACUUGGAUGGGUGACCACCUGGGAACACCGCGUGCCGUU